rnacentral:rRNA from 1 species
UACGUAGGGGGCAAGCGUUGUCCGGAUUUAUUGGGCGUAAAGAGCGUGUAGGCGGCCAUUCAGGUCAGCUGUGAAAACUCGAGGCUCAACCUCGAGACGUCGGUUGAAACCGUAUGGCUAGAGUCCGGAAGAGGAGAGUGGAAUUCCCGGUGUAGCGGUGAAAUGCGCAGAUAUCGGGAAGAACACCCGUGGCGAAGGCGGCUCUCUGGGACGGUACUGACGCUGAGGCGCGAAAAGCGUGGGGAGCAAACAGG